UGUCCUAAUGAAUCGGCCUAUCAAAAUCCCAAUAGGACCAGUCCACUAUAGAAUGAUGCUACUGGGCCUCCCUAGGCCGACAUGAACCAGCAACUAAUUCAGCCUAUCGAGAUUGAUUUGGGCUUGAGCAAUACUGGAGAUAACACAAAGGAAGUAUGGAGGCAAAGUUAGGGUGCAGAGGGAAGUAAUGUUGCUAUUGGAUCGAAGCGAACUCGAAUAAUCUCCAAGAAAUUGGAUGGAUACCAGUUUGAAUUACCAUCAUCUCUCGUGCCGUCUCAUCCACCCAC
rnacentral:lncRNA from 1 species